AAUGAACGCUGGCGGCAUGCCUAACACAUGCAAGUCGAACGAGACCUUCGGGUCUAGUGGCGCACGGGUGCGUAACGCGUGGGAAUCUGCCCCUUGGUUCGGAAUAACUCAGAGAAAUUUGAGCUAAUACCGGAUAAUGACGUAAGUCCAAAGAUUUAUCGCCUAGGGAUGAGCCCGCGUAGGAUUAGCUAGUUGGUGGGGUAAAAGCCUACCAAGGCGACGAUCCUUAGCGGUCUGAGAGGAUGAUCAGCCACACUGGGACUGAGACACGGCCCAGACUCCUACGGGAGGCAGCAGUGGGGAAUAUUGGACAAUGGGCGAAAGCCUGAUCCAGCAAUGCCGCGUGAGUGAUGAAGGCCUUAGGGUUGUAAAGCUCUUUUACCCGGGAAGAUAAUGACUGUACCGGGAGAAUAAGCCCCGCUAACUCCGUGACAGCAGCCGCGGUAAC
rnacentral:rRNA from 1 species